UACGUAGGGGGGCUAGCGUUGUCCGGAAUCAUUGGGCGUAAAGAGCGUGUAGGCGGCCAUGCAGGUCCGUUGUGAAAACUCGAGGCUCAACCUCGAGACGCCGGUGGAAACCGUGUGGCUAGAGUCCGGAAGAGGAGAGUGGAAUUCCUGGUGUAGCGGUGAAAUGCGCAGAUAUCGGGAGGAACACCUAUGGCGAAGGCAGCUCGCUGGGGACGUUACUGACGCUGAGACGCGAAAGCGUGGGGAGCAAACAGG
rnacentral:rRNA from 1 species